rnacentral:rRNA from 1 species
UACGUAGGGGGGCAAGCGUUGUCCGGAUUUACUGGGCGUAAAGAGCGUGUAGGCGGCCAGACAGGUCCGUUGUGAAAACUGGAGGCUCAACCUUCAGACGUCGACGGAAACCGUCUGGCUAGAGUCCGGAAGAGGAGAGUGGAAUUCCUGGUGUAGCGGUGAAAUGCGCAGAUAUCAGGAAGGAACACCUAGUGGCGAAGGCGUCACGUGGCGAUGCUCUGAGGAGCGAA